UGGGGAAUAUUGCACAAUGGGCGCAAGCCUGAUGCAGCCAUGCCGCGUGUGUGAAGAAGGCCUUCGGGUUGUAAAGCACUUUCAGCGGGGAGGAAGGCGAUAAGGUUAAUAACCUUGUCGAUUGACGUUACCCGCAGAAUAAGCACCGGCUAACUCCGUGUCAGCAGCUGCGGUAAUACGGAGGGUGCAAGCGUUAAUCGGAAUUACUGGGCGUAAAGCGGACGCGGGCGGUCUGUCAAGUCGGAUGUGAAAUCCCCGGGCUCAACCUGGGAACUGCAUCCGAGACUGGCAGGCUAGAGUCAUGUAGAGGGGGGUAGGAUUCCAGGUGUAGCGGUGAAAUGCGUAGAGAUCUGGAGGGAUACCGGUGGCGAAGGGGGCCCCCUGGACAAAGACUAACGCUCAGGUGCGAAAGCGUGGGGAGCAAACAGG
rnacentral:rRNA from 1 species